rnacentral:rRNA from 1 species
AGCGCAGACGGUUGAUUAAGUCUGAUGUGAAAGCCCGGAGCUCAACUCCGGAAUGGCAUUGGAAACUGGUUAACUUGAGUGCAGUAGAGGUAGGUGGAACUCCAUGUGUAGCGGUGGAAUGCGUAGAUAUAUGGAAGAACACCAGUGGCGAAGGCGGCUUACUGGACUGUAACUGACGUUGAGGCUCGAAAGUGUGGGUAGCAAACA